UGACCUAGGAUAGGGACAGUGCUAGGACAGAGGCUUCUCGACUCCGGAUUUCUGCAGACUGCGCUGGAGGAAGUCAUGCUGCACAGCCUUGUGCUGACACUGGGAACAGGAAUAAUCAUGAAACCACAGAUACUUCAAAAGAAAGUUUUGGAGAACAAGAUGUUUGCGUUCCCACUGCAGAUGCGGCAAGGAUCAUGAAGAAUGUCCCUCAGAGGGACACACUACACGGGACGCCAAAGAAUGUGUUCCAGAGUGUGUGGGUUCAUCAGCUUCACGGCACCUGAAGCAAGUGAAAGAUGCCAGGGAGAGUGCGGAGACAGUCAGUGGGGAGGGUGCUCUCUUUGCCCUGUUCACCUGAGGCUUUGAGAGUUAUGCAGAAGCGCUGGGGUGGUGCCUUCAGGCACUCAGAGAGGCUAGGAGACAGGGGAGCAGGCCCCAGUCCACCAGAGACACAGAGGGACCUAGGGAAGCUGUGGAAGAGGCGCUUACUGAGCAGUUAUUAGCUGGCUUCAGGACUGCAGAAAGGCAGCAGCAAAAUGUUAUGGUUUACACAGCGGCACACUGGCAGGUUUCUCAUGUCCAGCAAGCUCAGUUUUCA
rnacentral:lncRNA from 1 species